rnacentral:rRNA from 1 species
GAUGAACGCUGGCGGCGUGCCUAAUUCAUGCAAGUCGAUCGAAGCGGUGACGGGUGAGUAACACGUGGAUAAAAUCCUAUAAGCCUGGGAUAACUUCGGGGAACCGGCGCUAAACCGGAUAAUUAUAGAUGGAUCCGUGCUGCAUUAGCUCGUUUGUAAUCUAACGGCUGACCAAGGCAACAAUGCAUAGCCGACCUAAGAGUGUGAUCGUCCACACUGGAACUGAGACACGGUCCAGACUCCUACGGGAGGCAGCAGUAGGGAAUCUUCCGCCAUGGGCAAAAGCCUGACAGAGCAACGCCGCUUGAUGGAUGAAGGUCUUCGGAUCAUAAAACUCUGUUAUUAGGGAAGCGGUACCUAAUCAGAAAGCCACGGCUAACUACGUGCCAGCAGCCGCGGUAAUAC